UUAUAGGACACUUAGGUGGCAGUGAGUUUAUGUUAACGGGGAGGAACAACUUAGAAAAGGUGGGUGAGGAUGGUUACCCAACUGGAAGAAUGUAAUCCGUGUCACUAAAUGGUAUAUGCAGAAACUGUUGAAUUGGUACACGUUUUGCUGUGUAUAUUCUCAACAACAACGAGCUAAAAAAAAUUAUUUUAAGAAUAAAAAAGAAAACCCUGUGGAUCACAACAGUCCAGUCUGCAGCUGAUCAUGGGGAUGACACAGGACCAGGCAGUGUUCUAUCGCGUUAGGCAUGGGUCACCAUGAGUUGGGGCUGACUCAACAGUAGCUAACAACCACAUAUAUUUCUCAGCCAUUCUGGCUGUACAGAAAAGCAGAGUUAUGGUAUCUUUUUGUUCAAAGUUUAUUUCAGAGCCCUUGUUCUUGAACUUAUCUCUUCUACCAGUUCUGCCCUAAUUCUGCCCCACUGGUUUUCCUCCGCCCUUCCCUGGAAAUGGUGCUGUUCUGAGUUGCUAGCUAUCUUUCAUUUCUAUUGCUGACUGACAAACUUACUACCUGGGAUGAAGUGAAUUUACAUUUUUUAUAACCAGUGCAAUUUAAGAAGUGGUAGCUAAAGGAUAUUUAAUUUCUACAUCCCUGUGUCUUCACAAAAUCCACAAAGUCUUGGAGCCACUGAAAAUCAUGAAGUUUAUUUCCUUGCCUUUAAGCCAGAAACCUAUCAGAACUAUCCCAGGAAAUGAGAAUGUCUUCUAUUUUAAAAAUAAUUCCAGAAAGGGAGAUUCUGUAAUUUUCUUGACCCAUUCAUUAGAGUGCUUACUGGAUGAGUCAAGUAAGCCAGCCUCCAGCUCAGCACUCCAGGUCCCACUCGGCCCGGCUGGGACUUUCUUAUGCCAGCUUUUCUCUUGCCCAUAUGAUGCAACAGCUGCAGCGGGGGACUCUUCCAGAAUAAGAUGGCAAAUGGAACUAACUGUAUAAAUCUACUGGUCUGUGUGUGCUGUAACAUGCAUGAUCCCUCCAUUCAGAACCGCAGUUCCCACACAACACACGCCACUCUGCCUCCUCUUCACAGACGUUCCCAGGCAGAUACAGGCACUGUUCCAAGUGAUCUGAGGAAAUCAAAGCCUAGGCUGCCGAAAGAAUACGUUCAACAAGAGAAACGAUGUGAUUUCUUGUCACCUUGAAGGCUAAGGUGAGCCUGACCCAAGCCAUGGUGUUUUCAGUCACCUCAUAUGCAUGUGAAAGCUGGCCAAUGAAUAAGGAAGACUGAAGAGGAAUUGACGCCUCUGAAUUACAAUGUUGGCAAAGAAUAUUGAAUAUUCCAUGGACUGCCAAAAGAAUGAACAAACCUGUCCUGGAUGAAGUAGAGCUGGAAUGCUCCUUAGAAGCAAGAAUGGUGAGACUUCAUCUCAUAUACUUUGGACAUGUGAUCAGGAGGGACUGGAAAAGGACAUCAUGCUUGGUAAAGCAGAGGGUCAGUGAAAAAGAAGAAGACCCUCAACGAGAUGAAUUGACACAGUAGCUGCAACAAUGGGCUUAAACACAGCAAUGAUUAUGAGGACGGCGCAGGACCGGGCAGUGUUUCAUUCUGUCAUAUGUAAGGUUACUAUGAGUCCCUACCAACUCGACGGCACCUAAAAACAACAACAUGUAAUUUCUUAAUUUAAUUUUGAUAAAGUUUUCCAUGAAAAUGUCAUCCAAAAGAAACUCUACGCUGUAACCAUAUUCCCAUAAUAAGUUGUAUCCCUGCUUCUCUCUUCAUUGUUCAGAAUAACCAGAUAUAUUUUCAUAAAGACAUUUGUCCAUCUGUCCCCCACCCUGAGUCCCAGUGGAGCUCUGGGGAGCAAUGACAGUGUUACCACUUAGUUAUACAAUAAUACGAACUAGUAGAUACUAA